UACGUAGGGCGCGAGCGUUGUCCGGAAUUAUUGGGCGUAAAGAGCUCGUAGGCGGCCGGUUGCGUCUGCUGUGAAAUCCCGGGGCUUAACCCCGGGCGUGCAGUGGAUACGGGCCGGCUGGAGGCAGGCAGGGGAGAAUGGAAUUCCCGGUGUAGCGGUGAAAUGCGCAGAUAUCGGGAGGAACCCCGGUGGCGAAGGCGGUUCUCUUGGCCUGUACUGACGCUGAGGAGCGAAAGCGUGGGGAGCGAACAGG
rnacentral:rRNA from 1 species